GCCAGGCGGCCGGGGCGGCGGGACGCGGCAGGAAGUCGACUCUUAACCGGCCUCGGGCGCGCAAGGGCCGCGCGAGGAGGGCGCGUCCCGGUAGCGGGAGGCCGCGCACGCACAUAACGGGGCGCGGGCCCGGACCUCACCCAGGAUCUCCUGGCGCCGAGUGGCGUGGGGCUGGUCGGUGUAGACCCACUCGAAGUCUUCCCGAGAAACGCGGUUCCCCAUGGCGGCGGCGGCUUGCGGGCCAGCUGCCGGCUCUCGCUCCUGGCCGGGAUCCUCCGAAGCUGAGGCGGAGAUGAAAGCGAAGGCGGCGGCUCCGCGACUAGUGUCAGCUGGCUGCUGCGGAGCCGGAGAGCAGUCGCCGAGCGGGGCGGAGCCUCGAGGCCCCGCCCCUCCGGCCCCAACUACCACCACGCCCGCCCCGGAGCGUGGCAGGCCGGGCGGAGGCCCCAGCGGUGGACGGGAUUCCGCGGCUCACUGGCUGGGGGUUCUGAGAUUCUGUGAUUCGGCGACCGGCUGAGACCGAGUUCCUGCAAGUCCCGGCUACUUGCGGCCUGUCCUGCGCGGUGCCGGUGCCCAAGGCCGGAAAAAGGUAGUUUAUCUUGAAGCAAUCAUACCAGUUAUUCUAGAAAGGCACUAUCCAGUCUGCUGUUAAAACCUGUGGGUGAGGACUUCCUGGUGGCGCAGUGGUUAAGAAUCCGCCUACCAGUGCAGGGGACACGGGUUCGAGCCCUGGUCCGUGAAGAUCCCAUAUGCCAAGGAGCAACUAGGCCCGUGUGCCACAACUACUGAGCCUGAGCUCUAGAGCCCACGUGCCACAACUACUGAAGCCCGCGCGCCUAGAGCCCGUGCUCUGCAAAAAGAGAAGCCACAGCAAUGAGAAGCCUGCACACCACAACAAAGUGUAGCCUCCGCUCACCGCAGCUAGAGAAAGCCCACGUGCAGCAACGAAGACCCAACACAGCCAAAAAUGUGUAAAGGAGAUUCUUUGCUGUUUUUAUCCUCAACACUUCUGACACCAAGUAAGAGGUUUUUUUCCUCCUGACAAGAAGUAUGUGGUGGACUUCCCUGGUGGCGCAGUGGUUAAGAAUCCGCCUGCCAAUUCAGGCGACCCGAGUUCGAUCCCUGGUCCAGGAAGAUCCCACAUGCUCCGGAGCAACCAAGCCCGUGCGCCACAACUACUGAGCCUGCACUCUAGAGCCUGCGAGCCACAACUACUCAGCCCGUGUGCCACAACUACUGAGCCCACGUGCCACAACUACUGAAGCCUGUGCGCCUAGAGCCCGUGCUCCACAACAAGAGAAGCCACUGCAAUGAGAAGCCCGCGCACCGCAACGAAGAGUAGCCCCCACUCGCCGCAGCUAGAGAAAGCCCACAUGCAGCAACGGAGACCCAACGCAGCCAAUAAACAAACAAACAAAGAAAUAUGUGGUGUCUUUUCCAACACCAUUUCUUCAGCUUACUGACACUAACUACCUGGAAUUAGCAUCAGAUUCCACAGAUUUAAGGGCUCAGUCCCACUAGGUGGUCCUCCACUUCAGAUGUCAGUUACAAGUCCCUGGCCUCCUGAACUUUGGACCAACCCCAGCUAUAAGUUGGGGGUUCCCAUAACCCUCUCCUCAGGUUUGAUUAUUUGCUAGAAUGACUCACAGAACUCAGGAAAGUACUUUACUUAUUAUUACUGGUUUAUUAUAAAGGAUAUAACUGGGGAACAUCCAGAUGGGAGAGACACAUAGGGCAAAGUGGUGGGCUUGGGGUGAGGCAUGGAUCUCCCAUGCUGCAAGCUCUUUGAACUCCAUCCUUUAAGGGGUUUUAUUAAGGGUUCAUUCCAAAGGUAUGAUCGAUGAAAUCAUUGGCUAUUGUUGAUUGAUUCAAUCACCAGUCCCUUUCCCCUCCCCAGAUGUUAGGAGGUGAGCCUGAAAGUUCUAACCCUAAUCAUGCUUUUCUUUCUGGUGACAAGGCCCCAACCUGAAGCCAUCUAGGGCCCUGCCAAGAAACACUUCAUUAGAAAAAAAGACACUCCCAUCCCUCAGGGUGUUCCAAGCCAUUUAGGAACUCUGUGUCAAAAACCAAGGAUAGGGCUUCCCUGGUGGCGCAGUGGUUAAAAAUCCGCCUGCCAAUGCAGGGGACACGGGUUCGAUCCCCAGUCCGGGAAGAUCCCACAUGCCACAGAGCAACUAAGCCCAUGCGCCACAACUACUGGGCCUGCACUCUAGACCCCACGAGCUACAACUACUGAAGCCCGCAUGCCUAGAGCCCGUGCUCCGCAACAAGAGAAGCCACCACAGUGAGAAGCCUGCGCACCGCAACGAAGAGUAGCCCCUGCUCGCCGCAACUAGAGAAAGCCCGAGCACAGCAACGAAGACCCAACACAGCCAAAAAUAAAAACAAAUAAAUAAAUUUAUUUUAAAAAAAAGAACCAGGGAUAAAGAUCAAAUAUAUAUAUUUCCUAUUGUAUCACAGGAGCAGGUACUGUUUAGCCACUCUUGCUAAAAAAGGUUCUCCACAUUGGACAUUCAGAGAGACAUACACUCUCCCUCAGUCCUGAAGAGGAUGCUAUUUACCAUGCCUAUCAGGCUCAGGAGGUACAAGUGCUCUAAUAAUUUUUGAAUGCAUUUCUGGUGACAUGCUUUGAAAUGAUUUUGAUUAUACAAGGAGUUUCUCUCCAUGGCUGACCAAUGUGUUAUUUGAAGAACACGUUAAAUCUUGUGCAAAGGACUCUUAAUCAUCUUAUCAUCUUACCGCGAACAAUUGAUAUAAAUAGCAAUUCCUUGAAACCGCAAACGUUGAGGCCCAUAAUCUUUGGGAACACCAGCAGACAACAUACUCAGGCACCAUUCCCUUCCCCAGGCUUGCCCUUGCAAGCAUUCAUCUAUGCUGUGUGGUCAGAUAAGGGAAUCAACUAAUUUCACAUAUUUUACCUUUGUUAAUUAAGCUGAGAUUUGUCCUACUGAUAAACAUAGAUAUCCUGGAGUUUCUGGAGUUACUUCAGGGUGAGAUGAAUCAUCACCAUUCCCACCUCCACCUGUGGCCAAUUGCUUAUAUUUUUCUAUUUUUUCCCCUAGGCAGUUAUUUUCUUUAAAUUAUAUUUUUAAGCCAAAGAAUUGCCCCUCCUUCCCUACAUGAAAGUCUGAUUAAAAAUGGAACUGUUGUGGUUAAAGUUUAAAAGUUGACCAGACAUAGAGACAGAAAAAAUAAUAGAGGUUAACAGAGGCAAAGGAAGGGGGGAAUGGGGAGUACUUUUUUAAUGGGUACAGAGUUUCUGUUUGGGAUGAUAAAAAAAAGUUCUGGAAAUGGAUAGCGGUGAUGGUUGUACCACAUUGUGAAUAUACUUAACACCACUGAAUUGUAUGUUUAAAGAUGGUUAAAAUGGUAAAUUUUAUGUAUAUUUUACAACAAUAAGAAAAAAUGAAUAGGGCCUCAAAGAAAUGUGGGACACCGUUAAGGUCAUCAACAUGCAUGUAAUAGAAAUACUGGAAGGGGAGGAGAAAAAGAAGCAGGAAAAAGUUUUUUUAAA